UGAAAAUGAUUAUAAAUCAAUGAAAUUGAUGGAGUUUGGAUUGGAAUCCAAGUGACAAGUAUUAAUUAAUCACUGAAAUUACUAAAUCAUACAAAUCAUCAGCCUUGAUACUGCCUCGAUUAAUUAAGGGUCGUGGUCAAACUUCAGAUGAAGAAACGGGUAUGAAGGAGCCAGUCCUUUUAAGCACGUGAAAGUCAUCACUGCAUCUUUGAAACGUAACUGACGGGAAGCCAAUUUACUUGACGUAACACUGGUGUUAAAUGGUCAUAUUUGCCUUUCGCAGUCACUAUUCUUGCAGGAAAGUUGUGUACACGUUGCAGUUUGGCGACAUUCUUGUUUCGUGUAUUCGCCUAAACAGAAGAAGAGUAAUGUACGUAAUCUGCUGGAUACUAAAGCGUUAGUUUAUUAUUGUCACAAGGGUAUGGUCAUCUAGGAUAUGUUUAAUUCGGUUAAUUUGACACAGAGAUUUCAUACAUUUCGAUACUAAACACCCAUCCAAUUCCAUCCCAAAUCGUUUGCAGCGGACAGUGGUUGUAGUUGUUUAUCAAGAAAGGACACACUGAAAUCUUGUAUUCCCUUCAACAUUUGUGGUAA